rnacentral:snRNA from 1 species
AUUGCUUCUUGGCCUUUUGGCUAAGAUCAAGUAUAGUAUCUGUUCUUAUCAGUUUAAUAUCUGAUACGUCCUCUAUCUGAGGACAAUACAUUAAUAGAUUUUUGGAGCAGGGAGUUGGAAUAGGGGCUUGCUCCAACCGCUCCACGCAUCGACCUGGUAUUGCAGUACUUCCAGGAACAGUGUACCUCCU